rnacentral:rRNA from 1 species
UACGGGGGGGGCAAGCGUUGUUCGGAAUUACUGGGCGUAAAGGGCGCGUAGGCGGCCUGCUAAGUCGGAUGUGAAAUCCCUCGGCUCAACCGAGGAACUGCAUCCGAUACUGGCGGGCUUGAAUCCGGGAGAGGGAUGUGGAAUUCCAGGUGUAGCGGUGAAAUGCGUAGAUAUCUGGAGGAACACCGGUGGCGAAGGCGGCGACCUGGUCCAUUACUGACGCUGAGGCGCGACAGCGUGGGGAGCAAACAGG